GGAGAGAUGGCCGAGUGGUCGAAGGCGCACGCCUGGAAAGUGUGUAUACGGCAACGUAUCGAGGGUUCGAAUCCCUCUCUCUCCGCCA
rnacentral:tRNA from 13 species